AGCAAGUUAUCAGUGAAGAAGUUGUACAGGAUGACAUAGAUGAGGAGGAAGACAUAGAUGAUGAAUUUCUUGAGGACAAAUUUCUUGAGCACAACUUAAGUGAUGAAUUUCAAGAGGAUGAUAUAGAUGAUGAAUUUCAAGAGGAUGACCUAGAUGAUGAAUUUCAAGAGGAUGACCUGGAUGAUGAAAUUCAAGAGAAUGACAUCGGUGAUGAAUUUGAAGUGGACGAUUUGGCUGAUGAAUUACAAGAUAAACUUGAAUGAUCGAGUUGGAUGGUGUUUUAUUUUGGAUUGUAGUUAAGCCACAUUUUGGAUUGUAGUUAAACCACUUAACUCUUCCGAACUAUAAUUUUGUUAUUUUGCUAGGCUUAUACUUCGAAGCAUUAAACUUAUCAAGUAAUGUUUGACAUUUUUAUUACUAUUAUGUCUUGAAUUAAUGUUUG
rnacentral:lncRNA from 1 species